GGUGGUUCUCAGGUGACAUGCCCCUGAAUCGGGCUCCCUCCUCUCUGGUUCUGGGUGCAUCACCCAAGAACAGCA
rfam:Myotis davidii contig44677, whole genome shotgun sequence.